rnacentral:rRNA from 1 species
UAACGUAGGGUGCAAGCGUUAAUCGGAAUUACUGGGCGUAAAGCGUGCGCAGGCGGUUUGUAAGUUUGUCGUGAAAGCCCCGGGCUCAACCUGGGAAUUGCGAUGAAGACCGCUAAGGCUUGAAUUCUGGCAGAGGGGGGUAGAAUUCCACGUGUAGCAGUGAAAUGCGUAGAGAAUGUGGAGGAACACCGAUGGCGAAGGCAGCCCCCUGGGUCAAGAUUGACGCUUCAUGCACGAAAGCGUGGGGAGCAAA